GCCUACCUCACCGGGAGGGCGUUGGGAGGAGGAGAAAGGGAAGGGCGGAGGCCGUGGAAACGCUGAGGGAUGGGCAGGAGGCCCUGAGAGCGCAGUGGCAGCCUGGGGCGAUGGAGGGGGAAAGAGUGGGCUCUUCAGCCUGGCCUCCCUCGCAGGUAGCAGGACAGGAGCUUUGAAAGUACAGCCGCAGUUCUGUGGCGGUGCUUCCCGUCAAGGGAGAGAAGAGGGAGGAGGAAGGCGAGGGUCUGGCUGCAGGAAGAGAAAGAGGAGCAGGAGCCCUGAAGCCUCCCUCCGGUGCAGCUUCAACAUGUGUCCCCGCAAUUGCUCUGGCCAAGGGGAAUGCAGGCCCACCAACAGCAGCAAAGUAGUUGAAUGUGAGUGUUCAGAACAUUGGAAAGGAGAAGCCUGUGACAUUCCUUAUUGUCCAGAUGACUGUGGUUUUCCGGAGAGAGGCCAGUGCAGUAGAAAUGUCUCUCAGGGAUGUGUGUGCUAUGCAGGAUAGCAAGGUAUUCCCUUGUUUCCUAAGUGUGGCUGUCUCUUGACACCAGUCUGAAUGUAGUCAUGAUCAGGUAUUGCCAUUCUCUGACCUUACAUGAGCUGAGUAUACAUGAGGUGUUGCAGAAGAGAGAGACAUGAAUGCAACCUGGAAUCAGUGUCUUCUAAAUCCAGGCAGCCUCACAUGAUUUGCAACAUCAUUCCAACCAAUGUGAGCCUUCAAAAUAAAUCAAGCUGGGACACAACUUUUAAUCAUCCCUGAGAACUGCUAUCUAUCAAAAACACAAGGUCCCCACAUGACUGAGAGCCUCUGCCUAAAUUGAGAUCCCUCCAACUGAACUACACCAGAGAUGAACGUCCAUGCAAAAUGUAAGCCUGUGACUCCAAUACCAUCACUCUUUCUUCCUCCUGGAUGAUUUUUAAAACACCUUUCACCAGAUGAAGCAGUCAGUGGAGCUUCGAAAGCUUGUGUUAUGUGUUUCUAGUUGACAGAUUUUUAUCCCAAGCAAUUUUUUAUGUGUAUUAUUUAUUUUUCUAUGUUAUAUUUUAUAUUGAUGCUGGUCUUUGGCCGUAAUAAAGAAUUUCAUUUCAUUGCAUUAUGUGCGUUGUGUAUUUUG